GAUGGUUGCACGGUUGGAGUCCAGUUCUGUAAUACACAGGGAUUGUAGAAAGGGACUUAACAGCUUCUGUAAAGUAAGGAGAACUAUUUGCACUGCAUUUAGGAGUAUUUGCAUGAUCAGGCUCUAAAUCAUCAUAAAAAUGACAGCUUCAAAUUGCCUAUUGGACUUCAGAAGAAAAUAAUAAAGCUUAGGGUGUCAUAUGGACAUCUCGAGUUUCUUCAGCAAGCUAGGAAGCAUUUCCUUUGGUCAACCUGAAUGUCUGUGGAACAGACUCGUGGACUUCUAAACACCUUCCAAGCUCUGUGUGAAAAAUGACCCAUAUGGAUCAUGCCCUGAAACUGACCACCUCAAAAUGACUGUUGCAAUACACAUAGAAGUCAAUGGAAGGUUAUCAAGACUUACAGGAAUAAUUUGACACAGCUAAACAUCUGCUUUGUCUUCAAAGAUACAGAAGAAAAAAGAAAGAGAAGAAAGUUCUGAGAGAGGAAAUUGCACAGAAAUUGCAUAAAUCCUUACUGUCAAUUGCGUCAGCUAGUGAUUUCCUUACUCUAAACCAGAUGAAGAAUUUCAGUUCUAUGACAUUUGAGGUUUCAUAUUUGCUGUGUAAGCUACUGAGAAGAGAACCAGCUCAAAGCUUGCUUUCUGAGGCAUUUCUUGCGAUAAGACUCUGACUUAGAUGAGAGAUGGGUGUUGCCCUGUGGCAAUCAACAUCACCAUUUUACAUUUGAAAGCAUUUCUCUGGAGCCGUUUGCCUCCAGAAGAGAGUGCUUAGGAAUGUUUACUGACGGAAGAUCUGGCCUGUGACUAAAUAGUCCCAGCUUGGUGUGGGAAAACUGGGGAAUGAUACCAUCAUGUCCUGGGAAAAACAGGUUGGAGAUGGGCAUCCCUGCUCCCUCUCAUCUGCUGGCAAGGCCCGGAAAAUGGUAACAAAGCUGUUUCUGCUGAGAUCCCAGAGCCAGUAACUGCCACUCCAAGGAGAGUGGACUCAACCAUUUUGGAUUCGAGCUGUCACUCAAAAGAGAGCUGACUCGGCCACUUUGGACAUAUUUAUAAGUUUGUACUGUUGUUGUCAUUGUUGUUGUGGACACCCUUGUCAACAGAACAACAAUGCCCAACGACCCACCACUACUGAAGAUCAGUGACUGAACUACAAACCACGUUGGACCAUGGUGUUGACUAUCUCCCUCUUGCUUCCUAUAAGCUCCCUUGCUUCUAUUUCCUAUCUUUUCAAUCGCCCUUCUCUCCUUCCCCAUCUCCCUGAAUGACUAGGAUUUGUAAUAAACUGGUCAGGCCAACAUUUGAACUAUUGUUUCUUAAUCUCAUGCCGGGUAUACACACAAAGAACUUCCUCUCCCUCCAAUAGAUUGGAGAAAGAGACUAGUAAAUGAACAAGUAGACAAAAAAAGUAGCCCUUUACCUAAAAUUCUCAUGUCUCCUUAGGGGGAGGAAAAAAAAGAAAAAGUGAUGCGUGGAAUAUCAGUCCCUCAAAUUGCUUUGCAGAAGGAAAGCUUCUGUAUGAGUUAACUGCCUUGAUUAAUAUUAUUUGAAAAUGAUAGAAGUUAAAUAUCUCAUAAAUUAAGCUAUUUAUAGCUCUAAAGCUCAAUUUAUGAGCAAAGAACUCAGUGAAAUUAUAUACUUCCAUUAGAUUUUGAUUAAUACAAAGUUAAAUGGGUAUUUUACAAUCAGAAACAGAACUUAAACACAACAAACUUUCUACUUAAACUUGUUUGAAUUUUUUUCCCCAUUUCAUGAUACAUUACUGCAAGCAGUUUUUGCAGACUUAAUUUUUCCUCACCAUUUCUCAGUAGGUGUUAGUAACAAAGAGUCUACAAAUAGUAUUUGUUCUUUUAUAUCGCAUUUGAACUGGGAAGUUCAAACCGCUUUUAAAUGUUAAAAUAAACAAAAGAAAAAAUAAAAAGACUAACACAAAGAAAGAAACAGAGAAAGAAAUAAAAGAAAGAGGAAGAAAAAGAAGUUUUCUGAAAUAAAUUGCCUCUGAAAUAAUUUUAAACUCUGUAAGAAUUAUCAGCUUCUUACAUCUAGUAGAGAAAGUGUAAUAUGAAGGAACCACUAAAUUCAUAUCUCAGUGAUUACAAAACAGUAUUUCUGUGUCUCUGGUACAUGAGAUUACAGUGCUCUGAGAUGUUUGUAAAACCAAGGAAUCUGUAUUGAUAACUAAGGGAACUAACAAACAGAUUAAGAAAUAGGCUGCUUUCCAGUGGGGCUAAAAAUUUUCCCCCAAGUCCUGUAAGUAAAUGCUUACCAGCAUGACUAAGGCUGGCAGAAACUCACCUUCAAGAAAUAAAAAUAUAAGUCUCAGAAUAAGCAAGUGUGAUUAUGUAUGAAUGUCUAAGUAAAGGCAGGAAGAGAAGGGAGGAAAUGCAGAAAUUGUGGUUUGAUAAUUUCUAGGUAAAUUGCUUUAAACCAAAAUGAACUCGCUUAACCUUAAAUUGGUAACUGAUGCAAAGAACUGCAUUAAUAAUGCAGUUAUUAUGACCUCAUUAAUAUUAAUGACAGAAUGAAAAAACAUUUUGCUUAACUCUGUACAAAAUUUACUUAGAAAGCAUUCUAUUAAUAGACACAAAUCAAUUCUAUGUGGAAAAUCAAUUAAAAAGGUAUGAACUUUUGAAACAAUUAUUAAA
ensembl:lncRNA